rnacentral:rRNA from 1 species
UACGUAGGGUGCGAGCGUUGUCCGGAAUUAUUGGGCGUAAAGGGCUCGUAGGCGGUCUGUCGCGUCGAAAGUGAAAACUCAGGGCUUAACCCUGAGCCUGCUUCCGAUACGGGCAGACUAGAGGUAUGCAGGGGAGAACGGAAUUCCUGGUGUAGCGGUGAAAUGCGCAGAUACCAGGAGGAACACCGGUGGCGAAGGCGGUUCUCUGGGCAUUACCUGACGCUGAGGAGCGAAAGUGUGGGGAGCGAACAGG